UGUCUCCACAUGUGUCCACAUUAUUAGUUCAACAUCUCCAUGUCCAUGACUUGUGAAACAUAGUCAUCAACUAAUACAUGUGCUAGUCUAAUAUUCAUGUGUGUCCUCACAUGAACUCCGACUAGGGACAACUUUAGAAUAACCAUACAAGUAAAGAGUUUCACAUACAAUUCACAUAAUUUCAAAUCAAUUCAAGUAGCCUUCAAUGGAUAUUCAAUGAACACAACAUACAAAUCAUGGAUACAAAUGGAAUAUCAUCAUCUCUAUGAUUGCCUCUAGGGCAUACCUCCAACAGUCUCCCAC
rnacentral:lncRNA from 1 species